rnacentral:rRNA from 1 species
GAUGAACGCUGGCGGCUUGCCUAAUACAUGCAAGUCGAGCGAACGGACGAGCAGCUUGCUUCUCUGAUGUUAGCGGCGGACGGGUGAGUAACACGUGGAUAACCUACCUAUAAGACUGGGAUAACUUCGGGAAACCGGAGCUAAUACCGGAUAAUAUUUUGAACCGCAUGGUUCAACAGUGAAAGACGGUCUUGCUGUCACUUAUAGAUGGAUCCGCGCUGCAUUAGCUAGUUGGUAAGGUAACGGCUUACCAAGGCAACGAUGCAUAGCCGACCUGAGAGGGUGAUCGGCCACACUGGAACUGAGACACGUGCCAGACUCCUACUGGAGGCAGCAGGAGGGAAUCUUCCGCAAUGGGCGAAAGCCUGACGGAGCAACGCCGCGUGAGUGAUGAAGGUCUUCGGAUCGUAAAACUCUGUUAUUAGGGAAGAACAUAUGUGUAAGUAACUGUGCACAUCUUGACGGUACCAAAGCAGAAAGCCACGGCUAACUACGUG